rnacentral:rRNA from 1 species
GACGAACGCUGGCGGCGUGCUUAACACAUGCAAGUCGAGCGGUAAGGCCCUUUCGGGGGUACACGAGCGGCGAACGGGUGAGUAACACGUGGGUGACCUGCCCUCAGCUCUGGGAUAAGCCUGGGAAACCGGGUCUAAUACCGGAUAUGACUCCAUGACGCAUGUUGUGGGGUGGAAAGCCUUGUGCGGCUGAGGAUGGGCCCGCGGCCUAUCAGCUUGUUGGUGGGGUGAUGGCCUACCAAGGCGACGACGGGUAGCCGGCCUGAGAGGGCGGACGGCCACACUGGAACUGAGACACGGUCCAGACUCCUACGGGAGGCAGCAGUGGGGAAUUUUUCGCAAUGGGGGCAACCCUGACGAAGCAACGCCGCGUGGGGAUGAAGGUCUUCGGAUUGUAAACCCCUGUCGACCGGGACGAAUGUAGAACGGCCUAAUACGCCGAGCUAUUGACUGUACCGGUGGAGGAAGCCACGGCUAACUCUGUGCCAGCAGCCG